ncrna:unclassified sequences malK-I RNA
GAUCAGGCCGGCAGCCUACUCCAUUCUUAUAGUCUGUCAGGCUAAUAAAGUAAGGAGGACCAAAUAUCCGCGCGGCUUGCGGUACAGCAGUGUGGAGACCUGCUGCAACGUCCGCGGAGUUCCGCUCUCCGCGGGCAAGGGGUCACAGGCAGAGGCCGUGACACCAAAGCCGAUCACUAUGGCG